rnacentral:rRNA from 1 species
AUUGAACGCUGGCGGCAUGCCUUACACAUGCAAGUCGAACGGCAGCACGGGUGCUUGCACCUGGUGGCGAGUGGCGAACGGGUGAGUAACACAUCGGAACGUACCUUAUCGUGGGGGAUAACGCAGCGAAAGCUGUGCUAAUACCGCAUACGCCCUGAGGGGGAAAGCGGGGGAUCGCAAGACCUCGCGCGAUUAGAGCGGCCGAUGCCUGAUUAGCUUGUUGGUGGGGUAAAAGCCCACCAAGGCGACGAUCAGUAGCUGGUCUGAGAGGACGAUCAGCCACACGGGGACUGAGACACGGCCCAGACUCCUACGGGAGGCAGCAGUGGGGAAUUUUGGACAAUGGGUGCAACCCUGAACCAGCAAUGCCGCGUGAGUGAAGAAGGCCUUCGGGUUGUAAAGCUCUUUUGUCAGGGAAGAAACACCGGCUCUAACACAGUCCGGGAAUGACGGUACCUGAAGAAUAAGCACCGGCUAACUACGUGCCAGCCGCCGCGGUAA